CCUACGGGUGGUAGCAGUGGGGAAUAUUGCACAAUGGGCGCAAGCCUGGUGCAGCCAUGCCGCGUGUGUGAAGAAGGCCUUCGGGUUGUAAAGCACUUUCAGCGGGGAGGAAGGCGUUAAGGUUAAUAACCUUGGCGAUUGACGUUACCCGCAGAAGAAGCACCGGCUAACUCCGUGCCAGCAGCCCCGGUAAUACGGAGGGUGCAAGCGUUAAUCGGAAUUACUGGGCGUAAAGCGCACGCAGGCGGUCUGUCAAGUCGGAUGUGAAAUCCCCGGGCUCAACCUGGGAACUGCAUUCGAAACUGGCAGGCUAGAGUCUUGUAGAGGGGGGUAGAAUUCCAGGUGUAGCGGUGAAAUGCGUAGAGAUCUGGAGGAAUACCGGUGGCGAAGGCGGCCCCCUGGACAAAGACUGACGCUCAGGUGCGAAAGCGUGGGGAGCAAACAGGAUUAGAUACCCGUGUAGUC
rnacentral:rRNA from 1 species